rnacentral:rRNA from 1 species
CACUCCUACGGGAGGCAGCAGUGGGGAAUAUUGCACAAUGGGCGCAAGCCUGAUGCAGCCAUGCCGCGUGUAUGAAGAAGGCCUUCGGGUUGUAAAGUACUUUCAGCGGGGAGGAAGGCGAUAAGGUUAAUAACCUUGUCGAUUGACGUUACCCGCAGAAGAAGCACCGGCUAACUCCGUGCCAGCAGCCGCGGUAAUACGGAGGGUGCAAGCGUUAAUCGGAAUUACUGGGCGUAAAGCGCACGCAGGCGGUCUGUCAAGUCGGAUGUGAAAUCCCCGGGCUCAACCUGGGAACUGCAUUCGAAACUGGCAGGCUAGAGUCUUGUAGAGGGGGGUAGAAUUCCAGGUGUAGCGGUGAAAUGCGUAGAGAUCUGGAGGAAUACCGGUGGCGAAGGCGGCCCCCUGGACAAAGACUGACGCUCAGGUGCGAAAGCGUGGGGAGCAAACAGGAUUAGAAACCCCAGUAGUCCCA